rnacentral:rRNA from 1 species
GAUGCCAAUCCCAAAAAGCCGUUCUCAGUUCGGAUUGGAGUCUGCAACUCGACUCUAUGAAGCUGGAAUCGCUAGUAAUCGCGUAUCAGCUAUGACGCGGUGAAUACGUUCCCGGACCUUGUACACACCGCCCGUCAAGCCAUGGGAGUCGGGGAGACCUGAAGCAGUAGGUUAAAGACACUGUUAGGGUAAAAUCGGCGACUGGGGCUAAGUCGUAACAAGGUAGCCGUACCGGAAGGUGCGGCUGGAACACCUCCUUUCUGGAG